AAGUCGUAACAAGGUCUCCGUAGGUGAACCUGCGGAGGGAUCAUUAGAGAAGCGGCCCUCCUCGCGUCCGAGAGGGGGUGCCUGACUACUACCCUGUGCACCUGUGACUCGCGAGAGUCUAACCCCUUUUUUUAAAUGCAAGUGAGAGAAUGUAACAAAGACAAAAAAAAAGAAAAACUUUCAACAACGGAUCUCUUGGCUCUC
rnacentral:misc_RNA from 1 species